rnacentral:misc_RNA from 1 species
AAGACUAUAGACCUGCGGAGUACCUGCGGAAGGAUCAUUAACGUAUCUAUGAUGGGGUGCGGAGCGCCCUGCUCCGGUCGAACGGCCGUGCAGCGGGUGCGCCGCCCCCGUCCCACCUCACAAACCCACUGUGAACAUUCACCGGUGGAGGGGGCUCGGUCUGCGCCGAGUCCCCGAUGCCGAAUACCCAAACUCCAGUUGCAAAGAACGUCGUGCGGACUCGGUGCCGCCUAAAACAUG